rnacentral:rRNA from 1 species
AUUGAACGCUGGCGGAAUGCUUUACACAUGCAAGUCGAACGGUAGAGGGGCAACCCUUGAGAGUGGCGAACGGGUGAGUAAUGUAUCGGAACAUGCCCGGUCGUGGGGGAUAACGUAGCGAAAGUUACGCUAAUACCGCAUACGAGCUAUGGAUGAAAGCGGGGGAUCGCAAGACCUCGCGCGAUUGGAGUGGCCGAUAUCAGAGUAGGUAGUCGGUGGGGUAAGGGCCUACCAAGCCGACGAUCUGUAGCUGGUCUGAGAGGACGACCAGCCACACUGGGACUGAGACACGGCCCAGACUCCUACGGGAGGCAGCAGUGGGGAAUUUUGGACAAUGGGCGCAAGCCUGAUCCAGCCAUUCCGCGUGCAGGAAGAAGGCCUUCGGGUUGUAAACUGCUUUUGUACGGAACGAAACGCGCUGAGCUAAUACCUCGGCGUAAUGACGGUACCGUAAGAAUAAGCACCGGCUAACUACGUGCCAGCCGCCGCCGUAA